rnacentral:tRNA from 1 species
GGCUCAUUGGGGUAAUGGCUAUCCUUCCCGGCUGUCUCCCGGGAGAUACGGGUUCAAUUCCCGUAUGAGCCG